CUCUAUGACUAACGCUUUCCUUAUUUGCUAAAUUUUCUCUGGAAAUUUGUAAACUUAAUUUAUUUUAAUUGGUGAAUGUGUAGGAAGCUUACUGGAGUAUGGCAUCUGCUCUCUCUAAAGUUGAUGGAAUUGAUUACACUGAUCCUGAAGAGGUCCAAUUUUACUUUCAUGCUACUGAGCCUCGAAAUAUCAAUUUGGUAAUGUUUUGUUUUACUUAACUAUUCUUUGUACUUGGAUUAGCUCGAGUUGUUGAUCACAACUCUCAUAGAUCUGGAUGCAAUGGAUGGGAAAAGUAGUGUUUCAUUAUUGGCAGAAUGUUCAAGCUCUCCUGAUGUUAAUACUAGGAAAGCAUUGGCUAAUGCAUUGUCUGUAGCUCCAUCCAUGUGGACAUCUGGAUUGUAGUUCAUGGCAUUUCCCAUUUUGUCCUCGCUUGUUCCACCUGCGAUAGCAAGCACGAUAGCCAUACAACUCAAGAUGGAAGAGUUGGUCCUACUUUCAAUCAAAAUAUAUCAACUUGUUUGAUUUAGGCCAAUUGCAUUGCAUCAUCAACCAUUAAGAGUCAUUGCAUUGUAUUUCGAGCGGUCUCCAAUUGAUUCAUUUUUAAUCCAACGGCUGAGAAUUGUUUGGUUUGGGGAGUUACUUGGACUCAUCAGCAGCAUCAUCAUCAUCAAUAUCUAAUUGGGAAAUUAUGUCAUCUCAUGAUCACGAGAAUAAUUUCAAUUUUAUGACUCAUAAUUAGUGGGAUAAUUUUAAACAGAGGAGAUGAAAACAAUAUCAUCAAUGUCAGAAGAAGAAAAAUCAUCACUUAAUUCAUCUUAAUAUGAUAAUAAUAAGGACCCUUUUAUCUUAAUUUUUUUUGUUUAUGUUUUGAUUGAACAUUGCUUAUUCUAAUUUCAUGCAUAUUUUCUAAUUUUCAGCAUUAGAAUAGAUAUGGAUGUUGAUAUAGAUCACUAUACUAUUCUUGGCCUACCAAUGGGUGAGGAUGGUGCUAAUAAGCUUACAGAGAAAAAGAUAUUAAAGGUGUAUACCUGUAACCAGAUAAAUUACCUGAUAAGUUUUGUAUUAGUUAUUGUUCUUAUUGUCCAUAUUCUGAUAUAAAACUUUCAUUUACUUGCACUACAUUAUUAAUUUUAAUCAAAAUUGGACUUUGCAUUA